AUCCCUGUCAUACGCCUACUACAGCAGGCAACACAGAACAUAUAUACUGCACAUAAGGUGUGCUCCAUGAUGUGACUGCAGAGUUCAGCUGGCUUGAAGCAUCAGUGUGAAAGUAGUGCAACUGCCCAGGCUUUACAGCAGUGUUCAGGACUGACACUGGCUAGUAGCUUAUUUCCUGCUACAAGGACAGAAAGCACUUGUGAUCCCUGAUGUGCCCAGAGGCCCAGAAAUAGUUUUCUGCCACAUUUUUUGGAGAACACCAGAAGAAUGCACCCAGACAACCGCAGCACAAGUUCUGUGCACAACACACUCUUCCAGGAUACGGCAUUAGCAAGAAAGAGAUGUCACUGGCAGCGCCAGCACACAGCUGCCCUGCUGCAAAGUCAUCACAAUGCUUCAAAUCAACCCUGAAAGCAGAGACAACUACUUCAGAUGAGUAGAGAUGAAAAUGUCUCUCACUAAAGAAAUCUCCCACGUGCCUAAAUUGAUGUAAGCAAAUCAUAAUCGUGCUGUUCUACAUGAAAUUAUUUAAAGGCUGAGUUUUAUUCUUUAUUAUUAACUCUUACAUUGGCCAUAUGAUUAACUUCACAUGGGUUUUGAGAGUUCUCUGCAGUCACCAAGAAGGCACUGCAUUUAUUUUUUUUAAACACAGAUAACACAAAGCAGUAAUACAUUGACAGUGGCUAUCCUAGGAGUCUGCUACUUUUUUCCAGUGAGCAGUAGAAGCUGCUACAACACUCCGACCUUGUCACAGGUUUACAAUCCAGCAUGCCUGGAAUACCAAUGACUCAGACACAGUACAGCAAUUUAGUUGUUAAACAAAUGGCAACUCAGAAUAACACAGAUAACUGUAUAAUUUACUUGUAUGUGAAUAAUGACUCGUGGCUGCCACUCAGCCUUAUGGGGCCAGUUCAUUAUUAGGACCAAAGAGAUGCUAAAAGUCAGAAUAGACAGAAAGACAUAUGAGCCAUACUUAUCGACACCUUCAAUAAUCAAUUUCUUGCCUCACCAUUGAGGUGGUAGAGACUCCACUUCUAUCUGACCAAAGCCAGGAACAGGCUACACA